ACCCUCCGGUUCCCUUUCCCAUCAGAUUGCAACACUGGUCUUAGUGUCGUAAGGAGGGAGAGCAUGCUGGAGCUGGCCUCACAGCCUUGUGGUCUGGUAUAAGCAUGUGGGCUAGAUUCAAACGGGG
ensembl:snoRNA